CCCCCCUGCUCCCAGCAGCCCCGCCGCCGCCGCCGCAUCAUCAAUAUUUCACGGGCGUCAAUAAGAGGCGGUGGCGGGGAGGCGGCUGCAGCAGUGCUGGCACCAGCUCCGGCCACCGCUCCCCGCGACACUCAGCCUCCUGCCCUGCCCACACCAUGGACGUCUUCAAGAAAGGCUUCUCCAUAGCCAAGGAGGGCGUGGUGGGCGCUGUGGAGAAGACCAAGCAGGGGGUGACGGAGGCGGCUGAGAAGACCAAGGAGGGGGUCCUGUAUGUGGGAGCCAAGACCAAGGAGAAUGUGGUGCAGAGCGUAACCUCAGUGGCCGAGAAGACCAAGGAGCAGGCCAACGCUGUGAGUGAGGCCGUGGUCACCAGCAUCAACACGGUGGCAGUCAAGACAGUGGAGGAAGCGGAGAACAUCGCCAUCACCUCCGGCGUGGUGCGAAAGGCAGGGGGGCGCCCCAGGAAACUUCCUCCUGGAUGGCCCUGAGCACCCAGCAGGCUGGUGACUAUCGGACCAUCAUCUGUGCCUCUGGGCACCACCCGAAGGUACUCCGGGACCCAGGCCUGUCCGACCCCCAACCCCCAGCUAGGGAGGCCCUGGGGUGUGGCGAGGGCCUGGAACGAGGGCUGGUGAGUACUGGGGGGCGCCCCGAGGGAGACAUUCCCUGGUGACACCUAAAAACCAGUCGGAUGCCCACCCAGUGAGCCUCGGGGGUGCAGCACCACCUGACAGCUCUCCAUCGGCCGGCCUCAGGUGCCACAGGGCAGCGGGACAAGGCAGGUGGCCGCCACCCUUUGCCCAAAGGCCUGCCCCACGGCUGGCACAGUCUGGUGUCCUUUAAAGCCCCUCGGGGGCUAAGACUGGGAUCCAGGCUGAUUACCCCGGCUGGCGCUACGUGCAGCUGUGCCCCACCGCCCCCCGGGGCAGCCCACCUUAGGAGGACCUAGAACAACCUGCGGCCCCCCAGGAGGACAAGGCAGCCAGAGUGCAAGAGGAAGUGGCUGAGGAGGC